GGAACAGCCUGAAUGAGAACAGAAGUUGACAAACAUCUCCAUGGGUGGUUAUGCCUCUAAAACUCGUGGUGAAUUUUAACCCUCCUGUUAUCUGUGUGAACUGAACAAAAGUUUCUAGCGGGACCUAUAAGUAAGAAGGAGGGUGCAAGAGGAGGCAAGCAUUUCACAAAGUUACUGGUGAGAUAGUUUGGAGAUUUUCUGCACUUUUCUUCCUGUAGCAGAUCCCAAAGUGUUGCAGAGUACCAGAGGUGUAACCAACAAGUGAGACAGAACUGAGAUUUUGAAUCCUACUGCUAGAAUUGUUCAUGCAUUGAAUGUUGCCCUGUCAAUUGCUCAAAAGCAUAAAUAACCAUAAGAACGGAGGCUAGCUGUGAGCUGAGUAAGAUUCCAGAGGGUUUAAUGCAACCUUUACUGAAGUAGUGUUCUUCAUACUAUUAACUGCUGAUUGUCAUAUUCUUUCAUAUCAUUCCAGAGACACAGCCAGCAUUUGAUGUGAACAGCAGCUACUGAAGAGCAUUUUCUUUUCCCAGCCUUAGAGACCUCCUCCAGGACUACUUAGCCAGGGAUGUUAGAGGGGGCUUACCUCUUCCCAUUUGACGAGUAGCUUCAUAUUCUGACCCAGAAUAUUUACAAAGAGCUCUACUUUGACAGAAAUCUAGCAUGGGAACCUGAAGAAGAAUGCAAUCUGACAUAAACAUGCAAAAAUGCUACAAUGAUAGAGAAGAUUAGGAAACCAAACUCUUCACUUAGGCUAUCAUCAAGGAAAAUGUGUAGUGAUUAAUUAGUUAGGUCAUAUAAAUUUAUUCUUUAACAACAGUCCCCUCUUUUUCUUCCCCUCUGAGCUUUUUUCUAGUGCAAAACCAUGAGACUUUGAAAGCUGCACCUCAGUCCUUGCAGGAAUUAGCCAAAACCACAGACCAAGGUGACCUUUGGAAACUGAAAUUUCCUUAGACCACAAUAGAACUGAUCCUGACUGUUUUGCAGCUGUUCCUUGUUGUACAAGCUGACUAGAAGCUGAAGAAUAAACAUGAGGAAGAAAAGAAUAAUAGUACUAUCUUAACCUGCUCUUUUGAUUUUCCAAGGUCCAUAUAUCAACCUUUUGUAGUAAAUGUAUGUCUGUCUAGUGCAAACCCUA